ACAAAAUUGACUUUUGUGAGACAAAAAUUGACUUUUGUGAGACAAAAUUGACAAAAUUGACUUUUGUCUCACAAAAGUCUAUUUUGUAUGCAAAUU
rnacentral:sRNA from 1 species